rnacentral:rRNA from 1 species
GUUGUAUGGUUAAGUGACUAAGCGUACACGGUGGAUGCCUUGGCAGUCAGAGGCGAUGAAAGACGUAGUAACUUGCGAUAAGCCCAGAUUAGGUAGUAACAACCAUUUGAGUCUGGGAU